UACGUAGGGUGCAAGCGUUAAUCGGAAUUACUGGGCGUAAAGCGUGCGCAGGCGGUUAUGCAAGACAGAGGUGAAAUCCCCGGGCUCAACCUGGGAACUGCCUUUGUGACUGCAUGGCUAGAGUACGGUAGAGGGGGAUGGAAUUCCGCGUGUAGCAGUGAAAUGCGUAGAUAUGCGGAGGAACACCGAUGGCGAAGGCAAUCCCCUGGACCUGUACUGACGCUCAUGCACGAAAGCGUGGGGAGCAAAAGGG
rnacentral:rRNA from 1 species